CGGGGCGUGGCGCAGUUUGGUAGCGCGCUUGACUGGGGGUCAAGAGGUCGCAGGUUCAAAUCCUGUCGCUCCGACCA
rnacentral:tRNA from 2 species